CGCUCCGGCGGCCCCGCUCGCCUCUCGGCUCGGCCUCCCGGAGCCGCGGCGGCGGCGGCGGCGGCGGCGGCAGCGGCGGCGGCGGCGGCGGC
rnacentral:miRNA from 1 species